rnacentral:rRNA from 1 species
AGAGUUUCUUUCUGGCUCAGGAUGAACGCUGGCGGCGUGCUUAACACAUGCAAGUCGAACGAAGCGGCUGCAGGGAUUCCCUUCGGGGAGGAACAGUAGCUGUCUGAGUGGCGGACGGGUGAGUAACGCGUGGGCAACCUGCCCCAUACCGGGGGAUAACAGCCGGAAACGGCUGCUAAUACCGCAUACGCCCAGGAGGCUGCAUAGCUUCCUGGGGAAAACUCCGGUGGUAUGGGAUGGGCCCGCGUCUGAUUAGCUCGUUGGCGGGGUAACGGCCCACCAAGGCGACGAUCAGUAGCCGGCCUGAGAGGGCGGCCGGCCACAUUGGGACUGAGACACGGCCCAGACUCCUGCGGGAGGCAGCAGUGGGGAAUAUUGCACAAUGGGGGAAACCCUGAUGCAGCGACGCCGCGUGAGCGAUGAAGUAUCUCGGUAUGUAAAGCUCUAUCAGCAGGGAAGAAAGUGACAGUACCUGACUAAGAAGCCCCGGCUAACUACGUGCCAGCAGCCGCGGUAAUACGUAGGGGGCAAGCGUUAUCCGGAUUCACUGGGCGUAAAGGGAGCGCAGGCGGCACGGCAAGUCUGGUGUGAAAACCCGGGGCUCAACCCCGGGACUGCAUUGGAAACUGCCGGGCUGGAGUGUCGGAGGGGUAAGCGGAAUUCCUAGUGUAGCGGUGAAAUGCGUAGAUAUUAGGAGGAACACCAGUGGCGAAGGCGGCUUACUGGACGAUGACUGACGCUGAGGCUCGAAAGCGUGGGGAGCAAACAGGAUUAGAUACCCUGGUAGUCCACGCCGUAAAC